ensembl:lncRNA
GCGCUUUAGCGCGCCCGUCGCAGCCGCCUGCGCUUCAGCGCGCCCGUCGCAGCCGCCUGCGCUUCAGCGCGCCCGUCGCAGCCGCCUGCGCUUCAGCGCGCCCGUCGCAGCAUGUGAUAGCUGGUCCAUAAAAAAGGCCAAGCCCUGAAGAAUUGAUACUUCAAAUUGUGGUGCUGGAGAAAACUCUUGAGCGACCCUUGGACUGUAAGGAGAUCAAAGCAGUCAGUCCCAAAAUAAAUCAACCUGAAUAUUCAGUGUAAGGACUGUUGCUGAAGCUGAAGUUCUAAUACUUUAGCCACCUGAUGUGAAGAGCAGACUUGUAAAAGGUCUUGAUGCUGGUGAAUAUUGAAGGCAAAAGGACAAGGAGGGUGGCAGAGGAUGAGAUGCUUUUCAUACUGUUCAUGGGGUUCUCAAGGCAAGAAUACUGUGGUGUUGGAGAAGACUCUUGAGAGUCCCUUGGACUGCAGGGAGAUCAAACCAGUCCAUCCUAAAGGAAAUCAGUCCUGAAUAUUCAUUGGAAAGACUGAUGUUGAAGCUGAAACUCCAAUACUUUGGCCACCUGAUGCGAAGAGCUGACUCAUUUGAAAAGACCCUGAUGCUGGGAAAGAUUGAAGGCGGGAGGAGAAGGAGACACCAGAGGAUGAGAUGGUUGGAUGGCAUCACUGACUCAAUGGACAUGAGUUUGAGUAAACUCUGGGAGUUGGUGAUGGACAGGGAGGCCUGGUGUGCUGCAGUCCAUGGGGUCGCAGAGUUGGACAUGACUGAGUGACUGAACUGAACUGAACUUGUUCAACUCUAAUGUGCUCUUCAUCAACUUUUUCAUUGAGUAACAUAUGGCAUGCUUUCUAAACUCAUAUAUUUGUAAGGUUAUCUGUCUAUUAAUUUCUCAUGCGAUCGUAAACUUAGAUACACAGAAUUUUAAGGCACACCAUGUUCUUCACCAAGAAUUGUGUAGAUACUGCCAAAUCACUGGAAAUUUGGUUAGAGUAGACAUUUGAAGCCAAUUUGAUUUGUGACUUCUAUUAAGACAGAUUUUUACUCUUUCUUGUGUCUAUACACUGAAUCAAAAAUUUAACCAUGGUAAACCUAACACUUCUCCAGGAUUGUAAAAAGUUAGAUUAUUUCAAGAGUACUGUGUGCUAUAGUGUUUAUUUUUGUCAUUAAUCUAUGGCACUGAAAUAGAGUUGCCCUCUUAUUAGCCUCCUGCCUCAUUAGGCUUUUUCUCCUGAGCCACACUGAUGGUAUCAUUUCAUGCUGUAUCUCAAGUAUGUUGCACAGCACUGGAUAUGAC